CAGUCAUUACAAGGCAUUGCUAUUGCUCGACCCUGGAGGGUAACUGUGCUUUAACUGAGACACAAGGGAAGGGGAGCUCUGGAUGGGGCUCCAAUCACAGAUGGUUGCUCAUCCUCCAGCCACUGGGGAGGAACAGUCCUCGAUUCCUGGAAGUCAGAAUCCCAGCCUUAAGAGACUCCCCCAAGUGACUCUGGAGAGAGAUGAGUUACCCUAGGCUAUCUGGUACCAUUGAUGACAAAGCAGUGGUAUCUACUGGAGCCCCUCCCUGUUCCCUCUACUGUGAUGUAAUUGUCAUGUUUGGAUUGGACGCUUCAUGGCAGGGAAGCGCCAAUAAGAAGAAUGUGGAAUCUAGAGCUGAGCACGUAUCUAUUUUCUGUCCCAAUCCUGUCUUCCCUCAAGGUGUGACCUUGGGCGCAUCACUACAGUUGUCUGCCCACCUUAGCAAACAGGACUUGCAUUUGUGUUAUGGUAAAAAAAAAGGAGACAGUCAAGCUUAACCUUCUCGAUGAGUCUGACGAGCCAAGAAUGACUGAAAGACUCUUUAGUUUCUUUUAGUGUUAAAACAUAAAGAAAUGGAAAAUAAAUUGGAAAGGAGAAAUCAUACCCCCUAGAGAAAGGGACUAGUCAAAUUCUGAGUUGUAUAUUUUUUCCACUUAAUCAAUUCUCUUCUUCUGUACAGAUAACCACAUAGAAUAAGAGGACAGAAACACUUAGUAUUAAAUAUUGUACAUAACUAUUAAUAAUAAAAUCAUUAACUGUGUGUGCAUGUACCUAGCACAUAGUUAAGAGCUUCCUAUAUGGUAGCCCUGGAGUAUUCUAGCCUCUUUUUUUUUUUAAAUCUUUUGUGAAAGGUCAUGACCUCUUGUUUUGUUCUAAUGGCCUUCGGGACUUCUUCUGGGUCUCUUGUCAGAGAAAAGGCCCAGAAUCCUGAGCUUAAAGAUACAGAAAUGGGGGAGAUCCUCACCACUGUUAAGCCUGAACAUCAUUUUUGUUAAACGAGGAUUCUCAUUUUACACUUUCCUGCUCCCUUUAUCUGCUGAUCCUCUCCAAUAAACUUCCCCCCAGGAAAGAACUUGGGGCAGGACACCUGCUUUGUAACUUUGGUGAAGACCCCUGAUAUUUCUAGAUGCUCACCUCCCCUUCGACAGAUGGCAACUGUUUGUGCUGAGAUCCAGCAUCCAGCCUAGUGCUGGGCCUUGGCAAUGAGUUUCAUACUGAUGGACCCCUCCACCCUGACACUGUCUUGAGAUGUACUGAGUUGAAGCCUAGCAUUUUCAACGUAUGGCCUUGCAACCAAAAAUCCCCUGGCCAGAGUCAAGCACACUGUGCACUUUUGCAGGCAUCCAUAUGGGGAUGCAUUGUGCUGUCUUGAGUAUUUGGUUGGACCCUAGGAAAAGCCAUUCUAGGAAAACCUCCUCUGUCCCAGCAACCUUUUCUUCCUCUUGUGGAGCAUGGCACAGGGGCUGCCAUAGACAUCCAGGGAGAAAACAGUCUCCUCGAGCUGACCCGCUUAUCUUCCCAUUGGAAGGCCCUCCCUAAUCCCUUCAGUUCAGGUCCCUUUGAGGUCCUUCUAUAACCUCAGGCUACCUCUUCUUGCUUUUGAUUGUUGCUAAGAUCAUUUUUCUGAAAGCUCUCACCUGUUCAGGGCUGGCCUUCCCCAAAUCCAAGACUACCUUUAGCUUCCUGGCAGGCCUCUGUACCUCAGACUAGGCAGGAUCAUCUAUGUGGGGAUUCCCUUAUCUCCUAUACUCAUUGUCCAGUAGUUUUGGCUCAUGUGCCCUGACUCUGCACCAGGACAUGCAGAAUAUUACCCUCGUGGGAUCCUUGCCCUCCAGGAGAAGAAGAGCCUCUGGUUCUACCUGCUUCCAGAUGCUCUGAGGAGCAUCUCUCCUCUAGGGAGAUUAUUUCACCUCUUAGCUUCUGGAAGACAUUUUUGCCUGGAUCCCCUAUCUUUUCUCCUUUACCAGUUCUCAUUUUUCCAUCACCAUCCACCAAGCAUUCGGACUUCUGAGAAAAUAAAUAGCCAGGGAAAUGCUAGGUUACUUUUUCUUCCUUUGCAGUCACAUCCUUCUUUUACUUGAAUUGAGGUGGGGAUGGGGGCAUGCAGAAGGUAGACAGAGGAAAAGGAAAAGGAAAACUCAGGGAGAGACAAAACCAUGUUUGUACCACACAGUGAUCCUCCAGCCCCGUUGAGAAUAUGCAGUCAGCUUUUCGUGAUCAUGUUCUUUCGUCUAAGAGCUCCUGAGAUGACUGAGGAGGUGGGCCCCUCUCAGAUGCACACAUGCCUAUUUUCCGGGGGGGGGGGGGGGGAGUCCUUCCUCAGAUUGGCAAGAAUUGAUUUUGGACCCCAGAUCCCACAGGGCUGAGCUAGUGAAGGGAGAGAGCCCAGGGGCAGGCAUGAGUAUGUGUCUGGGUGCCCAGAGGGUAGCCAGGCCUGGGCGAGUCUGGAGUUCAGUCCUAUGACCUAGUUUGGCCAUGGGGCCGAUUGGAUCUCUCUCUCUCCCCCUGGAGGGACCCCCACUGCUGCCCUCAUCCCUCCUACUCCCUCAGGCAAAUAAACUCUGCUGGGCCCCACCUCCUCACUGCUGAGGCUGGAAGAAGAUAAAAAGUAGUUCAGCUGAGGGUGUUCCUGGUCUCUAGUUACAGGAAACUACCAACCCAUCCCUUCCUCAAAAAGAGAUUGUCCGGUUGAAGGCACUGCUCAGACACAAACCAAGUGUUUCUAGAAUAGGAAUCUUUCACAAAUCAAGGAGAAAACUGAUCUUCUGUUCCUGCCUAAGAAACAAGAUGUUAUAGGUUCAAAUCAAGAAAAGUCAUUUAAGACAGAAAAAAAGUUCAGGUAUGCAAGAAAUGGUGAAGUUCUUUAUUUUUUCUGUAAAGCAACCUAAUACCCUUUCAAGUAGUGAGGGAAAUUCUAGUCUGGUUGGUGGUUUGGGCUGGGCUUUCCUGCAUCGCUUCCUCCGGUGCCCCUGGCCCCUCUGGCAGGGCUACCCAAGGGCUUCUCGGAUGAUGCUCAUCAUGCUGUCUGUCCUUUCUCUUUAGGGGGCUGUACAAAGGACCCCAGACUCUGUCCCCAACCUAAGACCAUAUCCUCUGACUUGGGGAAGUCCUUUUCCCAUCAGUGUGCUCCAAGCCGCUGUGCUUCUGUCAAAUGAAAUCCUCUCGUGGGCCUGGCUCUUGAACCAAAGAGGUGGGAAUAUUCUUGCCAUUAUGUUCCUCCCUUGAGGAAAUGAAGCCAGAACCUAAGAUCUGCUUGAUAUGAGACUAGAGGGAGGGAAAACACACGGAAGAGAAGCGAAGGUACUGCAUGUGCUUGAGUCACAUGUGGGCUAUCAGAAGGAGUUACGAUUCCUGUUGUAAUUGGGGGCCAAUGGCACUUCUCUUCUGUUCAUCUUUUGAGUUUGGCUUAGCAUUUGUGAUUUAUUUGAGUCAUUAUAAGGCAUUUCACCCUUAAAAGGAAAUGCCUUAUAACAAAGUAAUCCCUAGCAAGGAUUUAUUUGUGAUGUGCUCAGACAAAUGGAUUGAUCUUAAAUAUUCUCACACAGAAUUACACUUUGGAGCCAUUCACACACCCCUGCUCCCUAACCAGUCUUAAUCUAUUUUCUUUAAGAUGAUGCCUCUUGCAGAAACCCUGCUUUGACUGCCAUGGUGCCCACUGAUCCUCAUGCUCUCUGAAUUCCUAGCCCCCCUGUGCUUUUGAACCAAAUCACAUGCUGUCCUACUAUUGCUCUUCCUCCAAUGGGAUUGCAGGAUUUUACCACCCAGAGAAACAUUGUGCAGGGCUGCCUAACUGUACAAUGUGAGAUCGGUGAGGGCAGGGACUAUGGCUUUGCCAUCCCCUGCCACUCUCCCAGGACCUCGUACCAAAGAGGCUCCAUAAAUGUUGGUAAAUGGAUGGAUGGAUAGAUGGAUGCAAUCUGCAAUCUUAGUCUGUUACCAUCACCACUGGUGUUUCUUCCCUUUCCUCCCCUCAACAAUAAUUCGGUGGUGAAAUUAUUUUGGAUUCGUAUUCACUUAUACGAAUAAUGGGACAACCUAUCACUUUUCUUUUUCCUUUGGAAUCUGACAAGUAAAUAACAAUGUUUUUUUGCUUUGUUUUGUUUUUUUAAGAUUUAUUCAUGAUAGACACAAAGAGAGAAGGAGGCAGAGACGCAGGCAGAGGGAGGAGCAGGCCCCAUGCUGGGAGCCCGAUGCGGGACUUGAUCCCGGGACUCCAGGAUCGCACCCGGGGCCAAAGGCCAAACUGCUGAGCCACCCAGGGAUCCCUAGAACAAUGUUCUUUUAAGGCAUACAUUAAUGUCCUACCUAAAAUACUGAAAUGUACACCCAGAAAUUAUGUUAGCAUUAUAUGUAUUUCUUAUUUCUUAACAUUUGCAAAUUUCUUAACAUUUGCAACUAAUCUGUUCAUUCCAGAAUGGUGGAGUUCUCCAAGGCUCUUCAUUUCAAAACAAACUUAUAUCUUCUGAAGUCUUACAGGUUCUUUGCCUCAGGUAUUUGCAAAUCACUCAAAACAGCCAUUGAUGUAGGUGGUUUAUAGAUAACACAGAUUGCUCUAUUGGAAAAUAUUUUAAUGUUAUCAUGUUCCAAGUGAGGAAAAAAUCCUUAUUUAUCUUAAGUGAUUCCAUGUAAUAAUUAAUGACCUUUAAAAUUCAUUUAUUAAACACAACUCUUUCAAACAGUUUAUGAGAGACAUUAUAUAUAUUUGUGUAUAUGUAUAUAGCUUUAGAUUCUUUUAGUGCAUUUUUUAAUUUAUUUCUAAGAACCACUCACUAAAAAUUUAAAAUAUUUCCCACAAAGGCAAUGGAUGGAUGUUGACUUAUGUGCCAUCUCAAAUUCGUAUGGCCAGGUAUACCCUAGCACCAAUCCUGGAAUAGUUUUAUAUUAAGGUGUUUACACUGCUCUGGCUCCUGUGAUUGAUGUAAGGCCAUGGAGGUAAUCAGGUAAAAGCUGUCUUUGGAGUCAGUGUUCUGUAUGCAGAAAUCUUCCAAUAUACUUGCCGUUUUUGUCUGGACUGCUACCCUGUGCCCUAGGAUUCCCUCUCACACUGAAUCCGCCCAACCUUCCCUCAAGCUCACCCCACAUUUGGGUUCUCUUCCUCUGUUCCUACAGUCCACAGAGGCUCCUUACUCAACACGAUGGUUUUGGUUGGCUGUUUAUCCAACAAAUGUCUUUUGAGCUUCUACCAUGUUCUGUGCACUAUGCCAGGCCCAUGAAAACAAUGAGGGAACAAGAUGUCCCUCUAGGAUCUCUGGAUACAGGGAAGAUGGACAAUUGCAACAAUGGAGUGACAGCUGUCACCAGGGAAAUCAUUGGAAAGCCAUCAAUUCCAGUCCUGGAGGGGCAGAGAGGCUUCCAGAAAACCGAUUCCCACAGCAUGGUGGCCAUGAAAUUGAGCACCUGUGAGAUGCCUCUGGGAUUCUUAGGGCUAACUGGAGAGGAAUUUGAGGGGCUGGAUCCCCACAAAACAGCUGGGCAGGACCAGAGAAAUAUUUUAUCUGGGUACUUUGGGCUUCUCUAGGAAACACAUGUCCAUUUACAAGAAUUUUGGAAAAUUCUUUAAUGUUCAACAAAAGGUAUCAUAUUACCUUGCCCCUGUCCUCUCAGUAACUAAUGCUACUCAGUUCUAAAUGCUAUGCCUUCAUAAAGGAACAAGUUUAAAAGGCAGAUAAUGUCUCAGCAUUGUUCUGGAAAUAGUUCUGACCUCAUGAUCCCAUGAAAGAAUCUUGAGGACCUACAAGGGUCACUGGACCAAUAUUUUGAAAGCUACUAACCUUGAGUAUAGUCUUAAAAUAGAUUCUAAGAGGGGUUAGCCCCGGUGGCUCAGCGGUUUAGCGCCGCUUUUGGCCUGGGUUGUGGUCCUGGAGACCCAGGAUCGAGUCCCAUGUCGGGCUCCCUGUAUGGAGCCUGCUUCUCCAACUUUGCCUGAGUCUUUGCUUCUCUCUCUCUCUCUCUCUCUCUCUGAUAAAUAAAUUUUAAAAAGACUCUAAGAAUGUACUUGGGUUAAUAGGGAAGUGACUCUGUGAUUAAGAGAGCUGCCUUGGGUACAAGAGUUAGGAGUGGUGGCACAUUUGCCAUAUAUUUGACAUCCUCACAAAGCACAGGCCCUUAUUUCCUAGAUUCACAGAGAGUCAAGAUAUAUCUACAGUAAUAAGAUUGGUUUUAAAACAAAAAUUGCAGAGAUCCCUGGGUGGCUCAGCAGUUCAGCGCCUGCCUUUGGCCCAGGGCGUGAUCCUAGAGUCCCAGGAUCGAGUCCCACGUCGGGCUCCUGGCAUGGAGCCUGCUUCUCUCUCUGCCUGUGUCUCUGUCUCUGUCUCUCUCUCUCUGUCUCUCUCUGUGUGUCUAUCAUGAAUAAAUAAAUAAAAUCUUUAAAAAAUAAAUCCCAUCACCAAACAUCUGACUGAGAGCUAUCCUUCAGAGUAGUCAUCCUUACAGUCUAGUUAUUUCAAUGACGAUCACUGUAAAUUUUGGAGUUCUUUGUAAAAUACAGAUCAAACUCAUUACUUCAUAGGUAAACUGGGUUUUGACCAAGACGAUACUUUAGGAGUGGUAUAAAUUUGCUUAUUUAACCAGCCUUGGCUCCAAAUGACUUCCAAGUCAUGAAAAGAUUAAAUCUGCCUCAGAGGAUGAAAAUGUGCUAUGAAAUGGUAUUAAAAUUACUCCACCAAUAAUUUGAGUGUCUCUAUUAUAUCAAGCACAGCACUAGGUGCUGGAAAUGGAGAUGAAAAAGGCUAAUUCCUGCCCUGAGGAGUUUAUAACCUGCUUCAAACCCAGGGUGGGCUCCUCAACCUGCAAGACAAUGGGUUUGCUUAGGCUCUAGUCUGGUGCUGAUGCCUGCAUGUAAGUGGGUGUGCUCAGCCAGAAGACCUGAGUGUAGCCACCACCCAAGCCACUGUGAACCAUGCUUGGCCCCACAAAAGAAAGGAAAACAGGAGAGACAUUGGAUCAGAUCUUCCAGAAGGUCUUUGUUGCAAUUUUCUGCAUCAUUGAAAAAAAAAAAAAGUUACAUCAUCAUCAUCAUCAAAUAAAGACAAUAGCAGCAGAGCUCAUUGAAACGUUACAAGCAAAUUUGCUCUUAUACUUUUCCUAAGAACAUUACGAAAUUCCCUCCUCCCCCCACCCCACAUUAUUUUCUGUAAAAUGCCUUUUUUUUUUUUUAAAGCACCAUGAAAUCCUACAGAGAGAAAAACAGGUAAAACACCUCCACACGUGAGUUUAUCGUCAUCACUGGGGUCCCUGCCUAGGAGUCUGGAGUCUGGGACGGGGAAGAGGCUGGAGGCUGGCAUGUGGGUUGGUUUGCAUAUCGUUUCUAGGCACCAUUGCACCUUCUCCCUUCAAGCUCGGCGCCCUGAUGGCAAAGGAGAGGUUUUCCAAUCACCUUCUGUAACAUUGGUCUGCUGUAUCUACGGAGUGAGUCCUCUCAAGGAUUUUUUUUUUAAAUACACAGGGAACGAUUUGAGAUUUUUCACUUAAGAACUGGGAACAGAAGGUAGAUUUCAAAUCUCUUAGGCACCUGUGAAAAUGAUCAUCACUUUCAGUAAAACCAGAGAUACUUCUUAUUUCUCCUCUUUGCCACUGCACUGAUGUCAUGUGACCUAGGGACUGCCAUGGGAGGACCGAGGUUUACAGGGAUGGCGGACAAGUUGGUGAAGUACAACGCUGCUGGUUUAUGGUACAAGGACAGGGUGCAGGGCUGUAUUUAUAGCCAUGUAAUCAACAUGUUAUUUAUUCCAAAAUUUCCAUAUGCAGAAUUAUCAGCAUCUACAAUGCCAAACUCAAGUCACCUUUGUUUCUGAGAGUUCCCACUUUUAUUUUUUAAGGCCAUUGCUAACUAGCUCUUAUACUAUGCCAGUGAAAGCUCCCUCCGCUGACACAGCCACUGUCCUUGCACACAGUUGCACCAUAACAGAAAUCAUAAACUUCCACUUGAAACAUUAGCGGGAUGCAGAAAGCAGAGACAGGAAAUGCAAUAUUGGGGGGGUUUUCCUCAUUUUUUCGAGAGUCUCUGCACAUUUGUCUGUUUUCCUAUGCCUUUCCUAUGGUUUGGAAACUGCAGUAUACAUGGGAUACAUUCCCAAUUACUCAUUACCCAAUCCAAUGAGUCUAAAUAAAUCUGUCCCACUCAAAUUGUGGCCACAUUCUCAGUAAUACCCAAAACCAAGCACACAAAUAGAUGAGCAGCAUUGAUUCAGCCAGGAAAUGAUGUCCUCUCAGAAGGGGGCAAAGGGGUGGUUUGCUAAUGUCUAGCACGAUAGGACUUUCAACAUCAAAUGGUCCCCAUAGAACCCAAAGCCUCUUAUUUCCAGUGUGUGUGUGUGUGUGUGUGUGUGUGUGUGUGUAUAAGAGAGACAGAGAGAGAAAGAGAGAUCUGUCUAUAGUAUUUGAAUUCAUGAAGUAAUCAAAGGGAACCUUUACUACAACUGACUGCAAAUAGAGAAGAGCUUAAAAUUCUUUAAAUAGUCUUAACACCAUGCAAAAAAUGCUCAUGUAGCCUGAGCCUUCCGGGUGACCGUGUGCUAUGAGAGGAUAGAGUGAGCCUACACAGGGCACCAUUCUAAUUUGGACACCAGGGUCCCAAACACAACUGGGUCUCCAUCGAUUACCCAGAAAACAAAUCCCAAAGGGCAGGAGACUAAGCUCUCCUCUUAGCCUAAAAUGAGGGGAGCCCAUUAGUCGGUAUUCACAAAACCAGCUACUACGGUUCUUCAUAAAUAUAACGAACUCAGAGGCCAGGGGAUGUUUGGUCAGAGAACCGCAGAACUCAAAGGAGCCUUGAUGAUUACCUGUGUUCAAAGCCCUCAAUGCACUGAUGAGGUAACAGAGAAGCGCAAGAUCCGAGGUACCCACGAUCACAGGCUGGGACAGGGGAGCCCAGAAAAAUAGUCCCAGUCGCCUCACUUGCAGGUCAAGGACACCCCGACCUGCACACCCAUUAGGGCCCUACCCCAAAAGUGAUUAAGUUCUUAGGGUUCACUGUUGGGUUAGGACUGGGUAUGGAGCUAUAGUCUCCCAAACUGUCCCCCUGGCCAUCAGCAGUAACCCUCCAGAUCUAUUACGGAAGGAAGGAUCAGUACCCAAUUACCAGGUGAAGCAAAAGACACUGCCCACUGAAGAUACAGAACAUGUGCUCUUCCCAUGUGCAAAAUCAAGGCAUUUAUUCCAAGUUUAUGGCAGGGUAGGGAGCACAGGUCGGAAGGGCAGGGCAGGGCUGUGCUGAUGUGUUUAGAAUUUGUAGCAGUUUUGCUGCAUACUAAUUGUCACAUCUUAAAAGGGUAACUCAUUCAAGCAACUUCGUAACAACUGGCCUCCCCCCAAAUCUUAGCUCGGACACACUAAGCUCUUACUCCCUCUCAGCUUCUCCCUUGGAGAGUAUGUUAUAGCUUGUCCAAUACUGCCCACAUAACUAGUGGAUCAAGCUCCACAGAGGGAGGGCUCUUCUUUGAUUCUAUUCCUCAGGGCUUUGGCCCCCUCUGUACUCAGGGAACAGGUUAUAUUGGAUAUUUUCCCACUCUCUGCCAAGGGCUAUUUUUGAUCCGUCCGUAUUACUGUGAUUCGCCUCAUUUGGGGAAGCGUCUAUGCACACACCAACAGCUGUUCCAUCUGGUAGAAUGUGCAGCUUAGUGCUUUGAAUUGUUUUAUUCCUGCUGUAUACGGAGUUCCUGCAAGGUAAGCAAGUAAAGUGCAAAAGAGUGCUUUCAAAGGGCAUUUUUAACAAUACAGAAAGUGUGCCACACACAGCAUUCUCGAAACCCAAACCAAAAAUAAUGUAUAAGCAUCUGGAAGGGCAACACUGUAGGUCACGUUUACACAGAGACCUCGACGUACCCUCCUGGCCAUAGAGAUCUUCUCCCCGCCUCUGUAUGCCGUGUCCGUGAAACUAGAAAGACACACAACGCACACAAACACGCACAGACACACACACAUUCACAAGAGUGCAUGACAUGGACACUAGAGCAAAGUCAAAAGCAGACUUUGGUCAGACGGCCUUUGAAUACCACCUCUAUACCACCUUCUUGCUGUGUGCCAGUGGGUAGGUUACUCCGCUUCCCUGAGCCUCCGCAUCCUCAUCUGUAUAUAAUGGGUUUGCAAACACUUCCCGUAGAGCGUUGCUAUGAGGUUUCAGUGAGCUAAUGCCCAUAAAGUGCCUGAUCCAGUGCCUGGCCCGUGGAAACCAUUGGAUAAAUGACAGGGAAGCCUCUUUGCCAGAGUCGUCUGUAGGGUCUGGGAUUUUAACACACUACUAUAAAGAAGGUCACGAGGACUACAGGGUGGAAAUGCAAAUGAAUGAGAUCAAUGGGUAGUUUAAUCAGGGAGGUUUUUUUAACUUGUCAGAAGAAUGAAGUUCCAGAUCUCUACCAAGUAAAACACAUUUUGUCAGGCUGGAAAGACCCUCACAGUAAGAGCCAGUGCCCACACCUGCAUUAACGUCAUUUCCAUGUCUGUUCAUACGUGGACACAGGAUGUUGCCAGUGAGCACCAGCCCCAGCCCCUGGGAGGCAUGAGCCCAAAUGGACCAUUGACAGGAAGGGCCUCAUGAAAGUUGAUUCUUAUUUGGCUCCUUCCCAAAAGCAAUGCCAGAACUUUAGCUAGAGCUUAAAAUUUUGGGGUAGGGGAAGGUGGAGCUGCAUGUGCCUCCAGGCAAGGGAGAACUGUGCAUUUUUGGGAAAUGGGCAGAAAGAGGUCUGCCCUGGUACCAGUGGUCAAGGAUGUGGUAGGUAUGAUUUUCCCCAGAAGUCAGAAAGCAUCAGAUGAUUUCGGGAAGUCUCUGCUAGUUCUGUGAUCUCUUGAUAAGUCCACUCUGUGCGUGUUAGCCACGUGAAUCCCCAAAAGGUGGCGCUGAGCCUGGGAGGCCCAUAACCAGCAACUUCCUGGGGUUUGGGGUUGCCAGGUCCAAAUGCUUAAGAGCAUGUGGUCCAAACGGCUGCAUCGGGACCACAAAUAGCCAAUUAUGCAACGGGCUGAGGCGCACAGAGGAUGGUGAGCCCCACACAUAUUUUGUCCUUUCUGAUUAAAAAAAAAAAAAAUCUACUAAAAAUCUUCUUCUCCAAACUGAUGACUGGCCACUCCCCCACUUUCCUUCACUGACCACCCAAACCCUCAUGGAACAAUCGUGUUGCACUGUUGGCCUGUGGAACCAUCACACAGGUGUUCCGUUAGUGAGUAGCAGGUGCAAGACAAAAUAGCAAGGAAAAGAAGUGAUGCUUUCCAAAUAAGGAACACCCAAACAUAAAAGUGGAAUGUUGUAAAUACUUCUUUUAAGCAUUAGUUUUUAAAUGGCAUUAAUGGCACUUAAGCUGCAAGCAAUGAAAACAAUUCAAUUUUCUUGUACAAGAAAGAGUUGGUUGGGGGAUUCUUUCUUUUGUUUGGAGAUAGCAAGAUGGGACCUCGCCACUACGUCUACCUUUAAGACACCCAAAGGGACAAAAAGCCCUGAGAUGGAAUGAUGCCAUGGUCCUCCUUGGUAUGUCUCAGACAUGCAGGAUGUCUAUUUUUAUAAAAAUUUAGGAUCAGCUAGACAGAACAGUAAGCCACUGGCAUCAUGCAAGGCAAUCGUUUUGGUAUUUUUCCCCCUCUUAUCAAAACAACCUAUAACCAGAGUUCCACUAGGAAAGUGAACAUGGACAUUUCAAAACCAGUUUAUUUUCACCACUGCACCCACUGAGGAAAAUGCAUGAUUUUUUUUUUUUUUUUUUUUUGCCUGUAACCAUGCAGCGAAUGAGGUUGAGUUUUCGCCAAUGCUUGCAAGUUCAUUUGUCGUUCGCCGACAGAUGAAAUUCAUUAGGCUUCUGUCAUUGGUUAAGGUGAUAUCCACAGUGUGAUGCAUUUGUGAUUUUUUUCUCUCUUUUGUAAUGAGGAAAGCAAUUGCACCUUUUAAUACGUGUGCUCUGAUCUGUUUCCCACAAAUUCCACGUGCUCGCGGGUCCCACGGACAUUCACUUGGAGCUUAGAAAGACUGGAUACGCACUGAGUGGUUCGCUAUCAAAAUUCCAGCUCAGCACGACCUACCACAAGGUCGGCUCUCAGCCUCAUCACAGCCCUCCUACAGGCGCUGCCAAAGGUAGUCAUACAAGACAGGUUCCCAGCCCGGCCCCCUCUCCUAAGGAUGUGAGGACGUAACUGCUGUCAGCCUGGCUCUCACUGUGUAAGACCCUACUGCCCAGUGAGGCAGGUGCGCAGUCAUUUCUAAGACAACCGGCAUUAGUAACGUAUGGGUCAUUACGGGGCUACGUGAUGAGUGAUUACUAGUCUUUCCCACUGGGUCGUGGUUGGACCCUCAUCUAGCACCACUGAAUCCACACUUAGCUCUUAUGGGAUCGGUAAUGCCUCCCAAAGGCAGCUGGGCAGGCACUGUGGCCUGUGGCUCCUCUCGGUGAGACCAACCCUACGCUGAGCAGGACCAGGGCCGCCCACAAGGUCUCCAGGCCACUGCCACUUUCUUAAAAUUAGAAUGCCAGACAUUGCUAAUGGGCUGUGUGGCCAGCCCCCUUGGGUCUGAUUUAGCUGCCUUUGUUAUUUUUCCUUUUAGGCAACUCUUCCCCCUCCCCUCGAAGCCUCCUCGAGGAUCCUACCGGAGUUCCUGCAACAGUAAGUGGUUUUUGAGGUUCAUUCUGUCUCUGCACUGAGCCAGACAGAGAACGGUGAGCUUUCCCCCUUGGGGCCAAGAGGAAAGAUUUACCUUAGCCAGUCACCACCACCCAAAGAAGCUUGUCACUAGGGGGCGCGAGCGAACAACGCAAAAAAACACCCUUUGGCCUCCUUCCCUAUGCUUGUCUGGAAUUCAGAGUUCUGUGUGUGAUCUCAAGGAUAUCAAAAUGCUGUGAUGUUGUUAAGGCUGUCCUAACGUGAGUCGGCCACUAAAUCAACCAGGACUUAAUCCUGUACAGUGAUCAGCGUUCCAAUUAUAUUUCUAGAAGGGUUGAUGCAGCAACCAUGGACUCUUGUUAAUGUACCUUUGUUAACAAUCGGGGUAUCCUUCCCUACUGCUCUUAGAGCAUUGCCCCAGAGGUUGUGACAAACUUUAAGGCAUGCCUUCUUGAGACUAAUCUGUGUAAGCCCUGGAAACCCGAGCUUCAAAGGGGUCUGGUCUAAUUGCAGUCAGCACUGUGAAUUAUAAAAGACACCUGUCCAUGGAGACCUCAGGACAAAUGAAAUAAGGCUCUGCAGUCGGUGGGAAAUAAGGGCCUUAAAACAGUGCAAGGCCUACGACUGUGGAGGUCACACCCUUGCUAGGUAAGUAAAGAUAAGGUCAAGUGCCAGUAUGUACUAUGUGCUCUCAAUCCAUGGUAAUAGGGAGGAAUAAUCAAUUAAAAUCAUUGGCAGUAGCCCUUGAAGCACCAGUGUCCCCUCUCAUUUUCUCCUUGACCCCCCCCCACCACCACCCAGGGAGGAGCAGUGCACCAACUGGGCAGUGCUCCCUGACAAGGGAGGUCCCCGUAGACUAAAAGGUAAAGAACACGGAUGUCCUUUCUUCUCUCUCAUCCACAAUGAAGAGCAGGGACCCACUUCCCAUGCAUUUAUGCGUCACAAGGUUAAAUAAAUCACACGUGUUCUUUCCCGGGUUACCUUUAACUUUUUCAUUUAGAAGCACCAUACGCAAAAUCAUUUUAGGUUGGCCAACCAUAUUCAUUUAAGAUCUAAAUAAACCAAUGCUACCUUUUCUGACAUUUUUAAUAAAGCUCUAAAUGAAGUCCCAACGCAAAGGCCAACAGAGAACAUCCAUGUGCAUUAAAUCUGGGGCUCCUUUUAUUUUUUUUUUAAUUUUUUGGUCCUUCAAUCAAUGCUGUAUUAUAAAAUGUAAUUCAUAUUAUUUUACAGAUUCAUAUUGACUUUUCAAUUAACAUGAAGGCCUGGAUUCAAUAACAUUAACAAAAGCAGACAGUAGAUAUUUAAUACGCUGACUCUAAUUAGAAUAGACUAUAACAGUUUUUGUUUUAUAAGAUAACAUUGCAAUGUGUAACAUUAAAAUUUAAAAUAUUCAA